CCUGAUGUUUUGAAGCAGAAAAAUCGAUGUUUCAUCUGGACCAUACCUUCUUCUGUCAGCCUAUAUAUAAAGGGCAUUAAUGGUGGAGACAUUCUCUGCUUGCUUCCAUUCUAGCUGGACAGCCCAUUCCUUCACUGCAUUAGAGCCUACUUCUUUUGGGAUUCUGUCGUAUACUGGAGACCAGCUGAGACAGACAGCCUUCUGGACUGAACAACAACUGGAUUCUCAGACUAGUAGACAGCCAUUGUUGGACUCUCUGAACUAUACAGCCUAC
rnacentral:lncRNA from 1 species